UACGUAGGGGGCAAGCGUUGUCCGGAUUUAUUGGGCGUAAAGAGCGUGUAGGCGGCCAUGUAGGUCCGUUGUGAAACUCGAGGCUCAACCUCGAGACGCCGAUGGAAACCAUGUGGCUAGAGUCCGGAAGAGGAGAGUGGAAUUCCUGGUGUAGCGGUGAAAUGCGCAGAUAUCAGGAAGAACACCCGUGGCGAAGGCGGCCCACUGGGCCGGUACUGACGCUGAGGCACGAAGGCGUGGGGAGCGAACGGG
rnacentral:rRNA from 1 species